GGGAUUGCCUCAGUAACGGCGAGUGAAGCGGCAUAAGCUCAAAUUUGAAAUCUGGCUCUUUCAGGGUCCGAGUUGUAAUUUGUAGAAGAUGUUUCGGGUGUGGCACCGGUCUAAGUUCCUUGGAACAGGACGUCAUAGAGGGUGAGAAUCCCGUAUGUGACUGGCUGCCUUCGCUCAUGUGAAACUCUUUCGACGAGUCGAGUUGUUUGGGAAUGCAGCUCAAAAUGGGUGGUAUAUUUCAUCUAAAGCUAAAUAUUGGCCAGAGACCGAUAGCGCACAAGUAGAGUGAUCGAAAGAUGAAAAGCACUUUGGAAAGAGAGUUAAACAGUACGUGAAAUUGUUGAAAGGGAAGCGCUUGCAAUCAGACUUGUGCCUAGUUGAUCAUCCGGGCUUCUGUCCGGUGCACUCGAUUAGGCUCAGGCCAGCAUCGGUUUGGGUGGUUGGAUAAAGACCUGGGGAAAGUAGCCUCCUUCGGGUGGUGUUAUAGCCCCAGGUGCAAUGCAGCCUACCCGGACCGAGGACCGCGCUUCGGCUAGGAUGCUGGCGUAAUGGUUGUAAGCGACCCGUCUUGAAACACGGACCAAGGAGUCAACCUAUUUAGCGAGUGUUUGGGUGUUAAACCCAUACGCGUAAUGAAAGUGAACGGAGGUGAGGACCCUUUAGGGUGCAUCAUCGACCGAUCCUGAUGUCUUCGGAUGGAUUUGAGUAAGAGCUAAGUGGGUUGGACCCGAAAGAUGGUGAUCUAUACGUGAAUAGGGUGAAGCCAGAGGAAACUCUGGUGGAGGCUCGCAGCGGUUCUGACGUGCAAAUCGAUCGUCAAAUUUGCGUAUAGGGGCGAAAGACUAAUCGAACCAU
rnacentral:rRNA from 1 species